rnacentral:rRNA from 1 species
AUUGACUUGUAGUCUCGAAGAAGUGCUACCAGUGGGAGCGCAGGAUAAGUUUCUUGGAAAAGAACAUCAGAGAGGGUGAGAGUCCCGUAUUUUGCUUCUGCAGACUUUCCACAUACGGUGACUUUCAUAGAGUCGUGUUCCUUGGGAUUGGAGCGCAAAUUGUGUGGUAAAUUUCACAUAAAGCUAAAUAUAGAUGUGAGACCGAUAGUGAACAAGUACCAUGAGGGAAAGAUGAAAAGAACUUUGGAAAGAGAGUUAAAAGUGCCUGAAAUUGCUGAAAGGAAAGCGAUUGAAACCAAUUUCUCUUGGAAAGUGCAUCUGUGACUACCGUGAACCACUUGGAUUGAUAACUAUAUAUAGCAAAAUUUUUUAUGGGAUCGGCCAAGGUUGUAGCGGCUUGGGCAGAUGAAUCUUUCCAAAGCGGCCAGCAUCGGUUACAAAGUAGGGAUGUCGAACGCAAUAUUAUGGCAAGGUAGGCCCAUCUUUGGGCUGUUAUUGAUUUUUAUCUCUAGGCCAGUUUUGUAUAACGAUGCCUACUUCUUGUGACCGAGGGCAAUGUAGCGUUAUAGCAGCUGCGGGUUCGGGCAACACUCUUCGACGCCUCUGUUUAGCUUAGUGUGUAGGGGAGAACUUGAACUCUAAGAUGCUGGCUUAAAUGGUUUU